rnacentral:rRNA from 1 species
CGUUCCCGGACCUUGUACACACCGCCCCGUCAAGCCAUGGAAGUUGGGAGGACCUGAAGGCAGUUGCUGCAAGGCGCUGUUUAGGGUUAAACCAAUGACUGGGGGCU